CCUACGGGGGGCUGCAGUGGGGAAUAUUGGACAAUGGGGGGAACCCUGAUCCAGCCAUGCCGCGUGUGUGAAGAAGGCCCUCGGGUUGUAAAGCACUUUCAGUGAGGAAGAACGCCUGGUGGUUAAUACCCAUCAGGAAAGACAUCACUCACAGAAGAAGCACCGGCUAACUCCGUGCCAGCAGCCGCGGUAAUACGGAGGGUGCGAGCGUUAAUCGGAAUUACUGGGCGUAAAGCGCGCGUAGGUGGCUUGAUAAGCCGGUUGUGAAAGCCCCGGGCUCAACCUGGGAACGGCAUCCGGAACUGUCAAGCUAGAGUGCAGGAGAGGAAGGUAGAAUUCCCGGUGUAGCGGUGAAAUGCGUAGAGAUCGGGAGGAAUACCAGUGGCGAAGGCGGCCUUCUGGACUGACACUGACACUGAGGUGCGAAAGCGUGGGUAGUAAACAGGAUUAGAUACCCGAGUAGUC
rnacentral:rRNA from 1 species